GGGGAUUUAGCUCAGCGGCAUAAGCGCCUGCCUUGCAAGCAGGCAGUCGUGAGUUUUUUACUGUACCAAUCCCUG
rfam:Cavia porcellus supercont2_70 genomic scaffold, whole genome shotgun sequence.